rnacentral:rRNA from 1 species
GACGAACCGUCCAAACGUUAUUCGGAAUCACUGGGCUUACAGAGUUCGUAGGCGGUCUGGAAAGUUGGGUGUGAAAUCCCUCGGCUCAACCGAGGAACUGCGCUCAAAACUGACCCGACUCGAGGGAGAUAGAGGAAAGCGGAACUGAUGGUGGAGCGGUGAAAUGCGUUGAUAUCAUCAGGAACACCGGUGGCGAAGGCGGUUCUCUGGGCCUUACCUGACGCUGGAGGAGCGAAAGCGUGGGGAGCGAACAGG